rnacentral:rRNA from 1 species
GUAGGAUAGAAAUAAAUUGUAUUAGUUGAGAAGUUAAACGGGAAGUUAAGAGAGAGGUUAAUUUUAUAGGUAAAAUUUGUUAAAUUGAAUGUUUUUUAUAGUGGAAGGUUGAAGCUUUGAAAAUUAAAGUUGAAACUAGGAUUAGAUACCCUAUUAUUUUAAUUGUAAAGAGAGGAAACUUGAGUAGUAUUAGUUAAGUACUUGAAACUCAAAGAAUUUGGCGGUGUCUUAGUCUUUUCAGAGGAAUCUGUCCUGUAAUCGAUAUUACACGUUAAAUGUUACUUAAUUUGGUAUAGUCAAUUUGUAUACCGCCGUCAUAAGAUCAUCUUUUUAGAGAAAGAAUUUUCUUGAUAUUAUAAGAUAAGAUGUCAGGUCAAGGUGCAGUUUAUAAUUAAGUAGGAGAUGGAUUACAAUAAAUGUAUUUAAAUGGAUUCUUUAUUGGGAAAUGAAGAUGAAGGUGGAUUUGAAGGUAAUUUUGUUAAAUUAUGAUAAAAUGAUUUAAGCUCUAGGACAUGUACACAUCGCCCGUCGCUCUCGUUAUUAAGAUGAGAUAAGUCGUAACAUAGUAGUUGUACUGGAAAGUGUAACUAGAAAGUCCA